UACGAAGGAGGCUAGCGUUGCUCGGAAUCACUGGGCGUAAAGCGUACGUAGGCGGACCGUUAAGUCGGGGGUGAAAUCCCAGGGCUCAACCCUGGAACUGCCUUCGAUACUGGCGGUCUGGAGUCCGGGAGAGGUGAGUGGAACUCCUAGUGUAGAGGUGAAAUUCGUAGAUAUUAGGAAGAACACCAGUGGCGAAGGCGGCUCACUGGCCCGGUACUGACGCUGAGGUACGAAAGCGUGGGGAGCAAACAGG
rnacentral:rRNA from 1 species